UAAGAAGCUGAGGAGAGGAAGGCAGAGAAACUGCUGAGAAAAGAGAGAGUAAAUCACUUGAAAUUAGAGCAAAUCACUUUUAAGAAGCUGAGGAGAGGAAGGUAGAGAAACUGCUGAGAAAAGAGAAAGUAAAUCACUUGAAAUUAGAGCAAAGGAGAGGAAGAAAGAGAAACUGCUGAGAAAAAGAGGAAGGAAAUCGCUUGAAAUUAGAGCUGAGGUGAGGAAGGAAGAGAAACCAGUGAGAAAAGAGA